UAAAAUGAUAGCCCAGCGUUGUCAGGCUGUCACGAGUUGUAGAAUACGUUGAAGUAGAGGCAAUUAAAUGCUCGUCGAGUGGCGCAAAUGAGUUUCUGAUGGUCCUGGUCUUUCAACUGUUAUCAGACAAGUAGGCAAUUAGGCUCAAUGAUUUCGUUAUUUUUCAUUUCUUGUCAGUCCCCUUAAUGACACCUCACAUCUCUCACUCUAUGAAAACUAGCCGUCUCUGUUCCACUCUUCAUUAAACACUAAACACAUUGCCAGACCGCGGUGCUACCGUCUCAUUCCAUGCAAGCUUCUCCUUGAAGCUUACUGGGUUAGUGUUUCUCAGUGCGUUCUUUGCGACUUACACCUCGGGAUUUUAAGGCCUUUCAAGAUUAACCCGAUGCGAAGAAGGAGAAUGAGAAUGCUAGAUCUGCUGCCAUACCCUCGGGCUGUGUCUCUGAAAAGGACCGGAUUUAAUACCUACACUGGGUCUGAGGAUCUAUCCCCCCGGCGUUUGUGUUAAAGGUGCGCUGUUGUUUAUAAAAUAAUACCAGUUUUCAUUUGAUGAUCAAGGCCAUUUUCGUUUUCGCCUCCGUCGGGCAAGUACGGUGGGGUGCAUGGAUAAAAUACCCCUUCUACAGAUAUUAACGUUCUAUCAGGGCUGGACCCAUCGUAUUACGUGUAAAUGCUAGUAAUUUGGUUGUCUAGGCCUAUAUCACGAACGUGGAUUAGCACAAACAACAACAACAACAACAACAACGGAUAUUGUGGUCUUCAUUAUGCCACAAAAUCAUCAUUUUAAUAUGUUGAAAUGAUCACCGAAUGAUAUAUUCGAUCAGAUCAAGGACGCCCAAGGCGAGAUCGAAUGUAUUCCUAAAUUUGGAUCUACUACUGCUACUCUUGGCUACACACAUCUGUGAACAAGGCCGCGACACGACGGAGAGCUUCCACCAAGCACUUCAGAUAAGUACCGACCCCGGCCAAGAGUAACUCACUGAUGUGAACAGCAGAUUUAAUCAGUUUUUUCCAUUCCUCCCUCAAGACUAUUACACGACGACCUGGGGUAUUUUUACUCAAUUACACAUCGCCUGGAAGGGGACGACAAAAGACGGCCUAGUCGAGGCUUGUCACAUGUUGCUGAUAAAAAAGGCGGGAGAAUGCGGCGCGUGCGAUAACGUCUGGAAACCUGGCGUCACCAAGACAACGACAAAAACUCACUCCUCAUCGCUUCUGUGAAGUGCUUAAACCAAGAGAACAUCUACUACUACUACGACCUUUUAAAAUUGGAAAAUGGACAUUCGAUCAAUCCUUAACAUUCAAAUAUCAAAGAGCAUAAUUGGCAUACUAUCAAUACGUACUUGUGAAAAAGAAAUAUUGUGGCCAACUAUAUUCCAAACCAGUUUGCCAAUUUCAAAACGCAAAUCUGGUAGUAUUUUGACUAGACAUACAAGCUGCAGUCAUUUGAUCUGUUGUCUAGCAACACAUUUUGCAAAAAGGAAAUAAACUUUUUUGAGGAUAACGGCAAGACGUUCAGAGAUGAAGACGCCCUUACCGGAAGGCAUUCAGAAUUCUCGUCGUGUCACGAAAGAUCUGAUUUCUUAUAGAUCAUGUAUGGGUGAAUCACCCCACUGAAACAUGCAAUUGUUCUAUUCCAAUCAACGGGCACUUACGUUUGUGUUAAUAUUGUAAGAAGGAAAUGAAAUAGCAUGAGCUUGGCCUUAAUUGAGACAUUGAAGCAUUGCUCAGAGUCGUAUGUUCCGAGAGGUUGUGUGUGCAGGUUGAUAUUAAUUUACAGUUAAAACUGUGAUACGGCGACCACAGUAUUGUACCUCAGUAUGCUAUCACUGCCCGUUGUCGGCUUGUGAUGACAUCACUCGACGAUUAUAUUGUAUAAUCAAUAAAAUGUUAACCCAAAA